rnacentral:rRNA from 1 species
AGCAGCCGCGGUAAUUCCAGCUCCAAUAGCGUAUAUUAAAGUUGUUGCAGUUAAAAAGCUCGUAGUUGAAUUUCGGGGUUCCACCGUUGGUCGGGCUAUUGUUUGUACUGGCGUGUGGAAUUUCUACCUUCUGGGGAACUAUCAUGUUAUUAAUUUAGCGUGGUAGGAAACCAGGACCUUUACCUUGAAAAAAUUAGAGUGUUCAAAGCAGGCUUAUGUCUGAAUACAUUAGCAUGGAAUAAUAAAAUAGGACGGUGGUCCUGUUUGUUGGUUUCUGAAUCACCGUAAUGAUUAAUAGGGAUAGUUGGGGGCAUUAGUAUUCAAUUGUCAGAGGUGAAAUUCUUGGAUUUAUUGAAGACUAACUACUGCGAAAGCAUUUGCCAAGGAUGUUUUCAUUAAUCAAGAACGAAAGUUAGGGGAUCGAAGACGAUCGGAUACCGUCGUAGUCUU